AUUGAACGCUGGCGGCAGGCCUAACACAUGCAAGUCGAACGGUAACAGGAAGAAGCUUGCUUCUUUGCUGACGAGUGGCGGACGGGUGAGUAAUGUCUGGGAAACUGCCUGAUGGAGGGGGAUAACUACUGGAAACGGUAGCUAAUACCGCAUAACGUCGCAAGCCCAAAGAGGGGGACCUUCGGGCCUCUUGCCAUCGGAUGUGCCCAGAUGGGAUUAGCUAGUAGGUGGGGUAACGGCUCACCUAGGCGACGAUCCCUAGCUGGUCUGAGAGGAUGACCAGCCACACUGGAACUGAGACACGGACCAGACUCCUACGGGAGGCAGCAGUGGGGAAUAUUGCACAAUGGGCGCAAGCCUGAUGCAGCCAUGCCGCGUGUAUGAAGAAGGCCUUCGGGUUGUAAAGUACUUUCAGCGGGGAGGAAGGGAGUAAAGUUAAUACCUUGGCUAAUUGACGUUACCCGCAGAAGAAGCACCGGCUAACUCCGUG
rnacentral:rRNA from 1 species